UGACCACAUCGUGUUGAAACACCGGUUUCCAUACGAUCGCACAAGAUAAGCAACAUCGAGCUCGGUCAGUACUUAGAUGAGUGACCGCUUGGCUAUACCAGA